CUCUUCUCUUGUCUGCCACCAUGUGAGGCAUGACUUUCUUUCACCUUCUGCCAUGAUUGUGAGACCUGCCCCAGCCACAUGGAACUAUUCCUCCUGCGAGUGGACUGCAUGAGGAGAUGUCUGUAAGAAAUUAAGAACAGUAAAACAGACUUGUUAUUGGCAGCCCAUUAGUGCUCAGGAGAGGCGGUCUCCAGCAUGACAUCAGCCGGCGGCUCGACCCAAAUCUAGUAUUUCACCAGAGAGCCUAACGCUGCUGGCUUUCCAACUGUGUGGAAGACGAUACAGGCGUAACAAAGACAAGGAUGAAAUAAGUCCUGUGAUGGAGAGACAAGCAAAAUUCUACCUGACUUCACAGGAGGAAGAAGUGUGCUGUGCCAGGGGGAACAGGAGAAAGCUUCAUGGAAGAGGUCACAGGAAAUGGGUAGCUAUCCAGCUAAAUAGAUUUCAUGCUUGACUUCAGUGGAAUAGCUCAAAUGAUGAUCUGUUUGGGAGAGUAAAUUAAAGAGCGACAUUCACGAGAGAGACGAAUAGGACACGGUCAUCCGAGUGCCGAGGCGCG
rnacentral:lncRNA from 1 species